UAGCCGCUCUGUGCGCGUUUCAGCUGGGCGCAGGCGCACUGGGAGCGGCGGCGGCAGCGCCGGUACACCUGUGCACCCAAGCGGCCAUUACAUUAGCCUCGUUUGAUCUCGAUGGUGAGGAUCUUGUCCUCCGUGCGCAUGGUCCUGCCGUCUGGAUUCAGCCGUUUGCGAGAAAUCUUCAUCCGUUUGGUGCAACCGUGGAAGACCUCCUCCAGGGAGACCCUGAGCUCGUGGACGAUGGCCGGGUCCUGUUUGCGCCGCUGCUUCUGCUGCUGCUGUUGCUGCCCGCCUGGGCCGGAGUGCACGUCCCGGGGAAAUCCGUUCAGGUUGAAGCUGCUGAAGGAACCGAAGGGGUCGUUUCCAUCCACCUCCAUGUCCUCGUCGUCACGCCCGUUUCCUGCUUUGCGCCCGAAGAACAUCUCAAAGGGGUUGGAGCCGCCAAAAAAGGUGGCAAAAGUGGCAUGGGGGUCUCCAUGGAAGGUGUAUGUAAAGGUGUUGCCUUGGUUGUCGCCAGUGGGACCGCUUCCUCCCUUGAGACCUUAAAGACAAACUCACAUCAGACAUAGUUGCUAUUCUCCUUCUUAAAAGACACAGUAGGCCAGUUUUGUCACAACUAUGUAUCACAAUUUGUCACAGUAUCAAUUUUUUUUUCUCCUAUCCAUAUGUUACUCCAGAAUGCACAAUAUUUUGUUCCACACCUUGUCAAAACUGAUCAAUAAUGGAUACUUGUGUAUCAAAGCUGUCCCGUGGCAGGAAAAAAAUAUGAAUAUAAAUAUUUUGUCACAA